rnacentral:rRNA from 1 species
AGAGUUUGAUCAUGGCUCAGGAUUAACGCUGGCGGCGUGCCUAAUACAUGCAAGUCGAAUGGUGGUAGCAAUACAAACCAUGGCGAACGGGUGAGUAACACGUAGGUAACCUAUCUUAGCGACGAGGAUAACCGUUGGAAACGACGGAUAAUACUGGAUAGGACAUCAAAAAAGGGCAUCCUUAGAUGUUUAAAGGAGCAAUCCACGGUAAGAGGGGCCUGCGGCGCAUUAGCUAGUUGGUGAGGUAAAGGCUCACCAAGGCCAAGAUGCGUAGCCGGACUGAGAGGUUAAACGGCCACAAUGGAACUGAGAACGGUCCAUACUCCUACGGGAGGCAGCAGUAGGGAAUUUUCGGCAAUGGGCGAAAAACGCCUGACCGAGCAACGCCGCGUGAACGAAGAAGUUAUUCGUAAUGUAAAGUUCUUUUAUUAGGGAAGAAAAAACAAAUUGACGGUACCUAAUGAAUAAGCUCCGGCUAACUACGUGCCAGCCGCAGC